UUGCAAUGGGUUUGCAAACUGUGUGUUGC
rnacentral:piRNA from 1 species